ACGGGAGGCAGCAGCUAAGAAUAUUCCGCAAUGGACGAAAGUCUGACGGAGCGACGCCGCGUGGAUGAUGAAGGUCGGAAGAUUGUAAAAUCCUUUUAAGCAUGAAGAAUAAGCGGGACAGGUAAUGGUUCCGUGGUGACGGUAGUGCUUGAAUAAGCAACGGCUAAUUACGUGCCAGCAGCCGCGGUAAUACGUAAGUUGCGAGCGUUGUUCGGAAUUAUUGGGCGUAAAGGGCAUGUAGGCGGAUAUGCAAGCUUGGUGUGAAAGGCGGGAGCUCAACUCCCGAACUGCGUUGAGAACUGCAUAACUAGAGUGACUGAGGGGCAGGCAGAAUUCCAGGUGUAGGGGUGAAAUCUGUAGAUAUCUGGAAGAAUACCAAUGGCGAAGGCAGCCUGCCAGCAGAUGACUGACGCUGAGGUGCGAAGGUGCGGGGAGCAAACAGGAUUAGAUACCCUGGUA
rnacentral:rRNA from 1 species